GCAGAGUGGAACAUGGCGGCCUCCUUGCCGCUUGCGUUACCAGAGUCCACCCGGCCUCGUGCUUUCUCCGGGCGCCCGUAGCUGGCGCCGGCAUCCACAAAAAUAGAUCAGACAGAGGAUGAAUAAAGAGGAAGCUCCAGGCUGUGAAGCGUCUAGUCCUUGCUCCCCUCAGAAGCUGGGACAUGUUGGACCAAGGUGGUAAGGAUAGUGAGUUUCCCAGAAGCUGGACAAGCCACGACGGCGCCUUCCAAUAAAAGGGGAACUCCAGAGACGCUAUGAGAAAAGAGGAACAGACAUCUGCAAUAGAUAUCUGCAACUUCCUUUUCAAAAACACCAUCGGCAUUGCUUUCUCAGGAAGCCACUGCCAGCCUAUUGUGAUAGCUGACACUGAGUUCCUGAGAAUUCUCUAAUUAGGAUCCCAGAUUGGAGGGUCAGCCAGUGGUUAACAUAUAAUGGACACAAAACUGAUUUUACUGGAAGACUGAGGGUGGGCACUCACCAUGGUUCUAAGCAUUCAUUACUCAGAAGAUCCAUAAAAACAUUACAGUUCUGUUGUGUAAGAGUUUAGGAAAAAAAGAAAAUCCUGACAAAAAUCCCAACCUAAAAAACAGUGUCAACAUUUGUAAGUAGGAUGGGGAGGCAGAGAUGAAUUGGCAGUGUUAUCACAGCUACUGGACUAUGUGGACUUUAACAAAGUAAGAAACGGGUGGGGGUUGGGUGGUGGUAUCUUAAUAGAGCAGGAGUAGAGACGGAUGUCCUGGGGCAGAAUGGGUACCAAUGCUGCCUGAAGCCUGGAGCUGGGAGCUGAGGACUAAGAGGUAGACAGGAGGGUGGGGACCGGUACCUGCUCCAAGGAACUGGUGCCCCAGAACUGGUGAGCUGGGGUAUGCAUUUAGCUCAUUCGUUUACCAGAAUGCAGUCACCACCUGAUGAAAGAAAUGACUAAUGGCAGGACUUGAACAGUUCUCUAUAAAUGAGUACCUGGGAGAAAAACAGGUCUCCAGGCUCCACAAUACCCAAUAAACACACUGCCUUUAGCCCACUUCAAGCUGCACUUCUUACAUGGAACCCAACCCAACCAACCUCAGAGGUAAGGGUGAGAGCAGGCAAUGAACAGCUAUGAUUCUCCAUUCCCUGGCCAGGCAGGGAGCCUUUCCAUCCACCCUCGUGAGACUGCUUGUAACAGAAAUAAGGAAACCGACUCCAAGGCUCAGUAACCCACCCAAGGUCAGAACCACGGAGUGGCAGGGCCUGUGAGCCACAAAGGAGACUGAAAACCAGAAAGAGCUUCUCUCUGGUCUGUUAUUUUAAGAAAAACAUGCCCAGAGGGGCCACCUGGAAGCAAGGCUGUGUGGCACCCUCACCUUCCUAAUUAAACAACAACUUCCCAGGAGCAACGACAGCAACAACAGCCUGGCCCAGCAGAUGAACUCGAAUCAAUCCAAGCCCUUCCCCUAUACGGGUCAGUUUGGGCACUACUUUACCUGCUGUGAAGUCUACUGGGAUCUUCCAGGAAAGUCCCACCUCAUUAGUAAAAAGAAAAACAAAGACUCGGGAAGAAAGUUCCUGCCCUCCCUGUUGAAUGCUGUGUGAGGAUAAGAUGUCUGGAGCAUGGCAGUCACCCUGUGACUAUCAGAAGGCCAGGCGUACCACAAGGUGGUCAUUCCAGUGCUCUGAAUCAGCCCCAAACCACUUCCCUCAAGACUCAUGUUCUGAGGUGAUUAAAAGUGUGCUUUGAAGGUAAAUCUAGGAUGACAGUCAACAGAUCAGUGAUUGCCAGGAGUCAGGGGUAGAGGGAGGGAAGAACAGAUGGAGCACAGAGAAUUUUUAGGGCAGUGAAAAUGUUCUGUAUGAUACUAUAUAUAAUGGAUACAUGCCAUUAUACACUUGUCCAAAUGCACAGAAUGUACACCACCAAGAGUGAACCCUAAUGUAAACUAUGGACUUUGGGUGAUCAUGAUGUGUCAAUGCAGGUUCGUCAAUUGCAACACACGUACCAUUCUAGUGGGGGGUGUUGAUAACAGGAGGCUAUGCAUGUGUGGGACCAGGGGAUAUAUGGGAAAUCUCUGUACAUGCCUCUCAAUUUUGCUGAGAAUCUGAAACUGCUCUUAAUGAAGUCUUACAAAAAUAAAGAAGUCUGCUUUGCCUUAGGUUGGGUCUUCAGUUACCUGCAGCCAAAUGAACACAACUGGCGUGAGGUAAACCUCUGACACUUAGUGAGCACGCUACAAUGUAGUGCUGCCACGAAAGGAAUAACAAAGAAACAGAACUCAACAACUAAAACCACAAAGAACUAUCCCUGAUCCGCGACAAUGGGAACAGUGUCUCAUGUCAGGACCCAGUACACACCCACAUUUUGUCUGUGUAUAAACAAAAUUUACAUGUAAGUUACUACAUGGCAUAUACUUCUCAUUUUUAAAAAGAAUGCUGAUUGUGACCCACUACAUUUAUUUCAUGAUGCAUUAAUGGUUCAUAACCCACAAUUUGGAAAGUACGGUAUACCUAUAAAAAAUUAGCCUUAUUUCUUGCCAAACUUGAACACGGCUCUGACCUGUGCAAGAUCGUAUUUUGAUUGCAGUGAAAGCCACAGGGUACUGAGACAGACUCCCUAAACUUCCUUUUUAUUCCUGAUCAAAUGCAAUGCCAAGCAACCUCCAGACACUACAUGCAUCAAUGUAUCAAUGUUGCUUUGCCUGAGGUGAGAUACUUCAACUAUCUAUCUGACUGGUACCAGGCUAGGAGCACUAGGCAGGACACAGCCUGAAUCUGCUGCUGCUGCUGCUGCUGAGCCAGCAUGGAGAUGUGUAUGUUCUUCAGUGGCUCUAUGUGAGGAUGCCUGUCUAACCCCAGCUCUCCUGAGCCUAUCUUGGACACUGAGGGGCAAACCUCUCCCUAGUAUCUUAAAACCAUAAAAGCCAGGAAGCAGGAUUUCUAAGUAAAGGAGCUUUAAACAGGACCUUUGCCUAGGAUCUUAAUUUUCCUAUGCUAUUUUGGAUGCUCUGUUGUCCCUGGGAAAGGGGCAUGAGACUUGCUCCAGAAUUUCAGACCACAGUCACCAACUGUCAAUCUCAUCUACUUUCUAAGGAGAAAUCUUCGCAGGGCAGGGUUGGGUGGUGGCAGUGAUGUUGGGGUUCCUUGAGUCCAAGGAGAGGAUUUCCCAUAAUCGAGUCCGAAAGCUAAACAAUAAUCCCCCGAAAUGGGUGGGGUGGUAUGUGAUUAAGUGGGUGUCACACAACUGGCACAAGCUACAGGACAAGGAGAAGGAGGGCUUCCCCAGUGGGGAGGAACAGGCCACUUAUCUAUGGCCCUAAGUUGUCAGCCUGGGGGAGAAGGUGGAAGCAGUGUUUGUUAAGCUGGAAUGAGUGUGCAUGUGUAGGAAUUAUGCUGUUCAGUCUGUAAUGUCAAAACAGAUAGUGAGAACUUCCAUUUCUGGUCACGGUGGAGGACAAGGAUCAGAUUUGUUCAUGAAACAACCAACAACCAACCAACCAACCCCUUCCUCCCUACAAAAAGUCCACUAAAACCUAAAAACCACCUAGACAAAAUAGCUACAACGAUGGUUUGUAGGACACCAGACAUCUGUAAUGAAGAACAAUAAAUCCUGAGACAUGGGAAACAAGGGCAGCCCUAUAUCCUUGGGAGUUUCCAGGGAGAGGGACCUGGAGUGGAGCUCAAGGCACCUAGAGUCCAUAGGACACAGUACCAGCAGGAGAGAGCUAUACAGAGAUCCCCAGAGAUCUGCAGGGUCCUCUUUGAGUAUUCAGCAGAGUCCCUCUCAGUGCAUGUAUCUGAGCAAACUAUUCAAGGCCAGGAAAAGAACUAUCCAAAAGGCUUAGAGGAACAGUAUCCAGUGCUCACACAGGGCUAGGAUUAGUGCUUACUACCCCCCGGUCAAACUGGAGAAGCUCAUGAUUGACAAAGCACUGGGCAGAAUACUCAGGAAGAUCUUGCCUAUAGUAGGAAAUAAUCAGCCCUAAACUGAGCUCUAGACCUACCUAACAAAUCACAAAAGCAAGACUCGCAAGCAUCAAACUGUUUCCGGGUAACUUAAAUGCUUCUCAGUAUAAAACUCAGGAAAAUUUAUAGGAAUAAAAAUAUCCAGCACCCCAAAAGGCAAAAUUCACAAUGUCUGGCAUCCAAAGAUUACCAGGCAUGCAAAGAGGCAGAAAACAGGACCCACAAUGAGGAGACUUAUCAAUCAAUUGAAAGCAACCCAGAACUAACACAAAUGUUAGAAUUAGUAGAGGAGAACCAUAAGACUCCAACUUUCAGAGAUGAAAACUACAAUGUCUGAGAUGAAAAUUACAUUGGGCUGAAAUGACAAAAUAUCCACACAUAACACAGUAAAAACUUCACACCAUUAUCAAGCAUUAACUCAAAAUGGAUCCUAGACCUAAAUGUUAAGUACUAAACCUAUCAAAUUUAUAGAAGAAAACAUAGGAAAGAAAUCUUUGUGACCUCGAGUUGGGUGAAGAUUUCUUAGUAUGAUGUCAAAAAGCACUAUCUAUAAAAGAAUAAAUUGAACUUCAUCAAAAUAAAUUCAGUACUUUAAAAAGCACUGUUAAGAAAAUGAAAGACAAACCAUACACUGGGAGAAAACUUUUGCAAAGUACAUAUCUGAUAGAGGACUUAUAUCCAGAAUAUAACAAACCAAAAUUCAACAAUUAAGAAAACCAAUAAAAAAGGGCUAAAGAUUUGAACAGAUACUUCAUUGAAAAAGACAGAGGGCAGGUAAGCAUAUGAAAAGAUGCUAAACAUUCCUAGUUAUUAUAACAACGCAAAUUAAAACCACUAGGAAACGCAUCUACCACCACUGAUUAGAAUGAGUAAAGCUAAAAAGACUGACCACGUCAGGUGUUAGUGAGGAUGUGAAGGAACUGGUAUUCUCAUACACUGCUAGUGGGAAUAUAACAUAAAGCUUCAGAAAACAGCUUGAUAGUUAAGUUAAACAUACACCUCCCAUAUGACCCAGCCAUUCUGAUCUUGAGUAUUUAUCCAAGAGAAAUGACAGGCUAUGUCCACAGAAAAACUUGUACACAAAUGUUCAAAGCAGAUUUAUUAGCGAUAGUCAAAAACUAUAAACUAACCCAAACAUCCACCAACGGGUAAGUUGGUAAAUACAUGUUUCUAUAUAUAGAAAAAUAUUUAGCAACAAAAAGGAACAAACAAUUGAUACAUGGGACAAUACAGAUGAAUCUCAAAAUAAUUAUACCAAGUGAAAGAAGGCAGACAUAAGAGAACGUACUGUAUGAUUCCAUUUAUAUAAAACUUUAGAAAAUGCAACAAAUCUACACUGACAAAAAAGCAUAUCAGUAGUUGUUAGAGGAGGGUAAGGAGGGGUGAAUUCAAAGGGAAACAAUGACACAUCAAAAUUUAUGAAGCUGUACAUUUUUAAAAUGUGCAGUAUAUUGGAUUUCAAUCACGCCUCAGUAACUUUUUUAAAAAAGGAAAAGAAAAAGAGUAGGCAGUGGCAUUUACUAAAAUGCUAUAUAUGUUUAGCUCCCACAUACACACUGGCAAUGAAUGAAAAGUGCUUCCUCUCUUUGGGGAGGGAACAGGUAAAGCAGGCAGCAAGUCAAGUCUCAGCAGCUGCUCCAAUUUUAACUCUGGAGAUCACUUGUGCCAGGAGCUGGAGCCCUUGAACAGUGAAACCACCUGCCAAGUUAGUGCCAUAAUUUCCUAAAGAAAGCGUGCCCUGCUCAGAGAAGGCAACUGAGGUUACAGUGCAGACAAGACAGCUGACAGUCUUUAAGCUCUAAAGGCCACUCAGCAUAAAACAUCACAAGCAUUGCCUUCUAAUUGCAGAACUGACCAAUUUCAUUCCUGGCCGUACAAGCCUAUAACUCAUGCCUAACAAACUGCCUGGAAUAGCUCCAUAUUCUUAUUUUAAGUAUUUAGUCUUGGCUCUCCUGACUGAAUGCAGCCCAAGCUCACAGACCUGGCCUGCGUUCUGUGUCCUGGUGGCACGUAUGGUGCUGGUACUCAAGAGCACUCUUGGAUUUGCUUUACUUGCAUGAUUUUUAAGAACCAGAAGGACAAGCAUGAGGCCUUCAUAUUUAGACCUUCUUCCCUAUAUGGUAACAAGAAUAUGAGGGGUAAUCCCAGAAUGGUAAACUUUACUUUAAGCACCUUUAGUUACUAAUCAGUAAGAAAAAUGUGAAAAUGUGCUCCAGUUAAAAGCACAAGACCAUGAAAGAAGCCAAAGCUAUGACUGACUGCAUGCAGAGGCUGUUGACGUCAUCUUCGCCUGGGUCUCCUCCUGAACUGAAAUCCUUGGAAAGGGAGCAAAAGGGUUUACAAAACAAGACGGUGCAGAGAGUCUCAAGUCUGUCUACUCCACAGCAGCCUGCUCUUUCCUGUUGCUUUUCAAGGAAUCAGCAGAGGGAGACCUGGCCAGCAGCUCCUGGGCAGCAAAGUAUCCCCAGACUGUGUUCCUGGUGGUUGGCUCAAGCCACUGAAGCGGUGGUUAAGACUCAAGACCAGGACCUGGAGAUUCACAAGGACCACUGGGAUACUAUUUCACUAAUAACCCAAUAGAAAUGGAGUCACUUCCAAGGCACUCUGCUUUGGGGAAGGGCAGAGUGCCAUAUACCUUCUACUGGGUAACAGGACUGAAGAAGGCACCUCUACAGACUUAUGGCUUCACUACUUGUAGUGAAAGCUCAUGACUCACAAUGCAGUUUAUAGUUGCUCAUGAAUCUUUGCAGGAGUGUUUCCUAUAGGCAGCAUUUUACAGGGACAAAAUAUGGGAAGUUUUAAGAUUAAAAAAAAAAAAAUGACUAAACUAAACCAAAAAUCAAACAUAACAAAAAACCAGAAUAUCCUAAGCCCCAAACCUUCAAAAUAAAAUAAAGUCCUUGCCAUUUACAGUUUGGAGAGGGAAAAGGAUUUCUACUUUCAACACGCAGGUGAGUUUCUUAAUGACAAAAAGUACAAUGAGGCCAGCUGCGGAGGAGGCUCAUGCCUGUAAUCCCAGUGCUUUGGAAGGCCAAGGCAGGAGAAUCACUUGAGGCCAGGAGUUUGAGACUGGCAUGAGUUUGCAACCAGCCUGGGCAACACAGCAAGACUCAUGUCCCCAAUCCUGUUUCUGCAAAAAAUUAAAAAAAAAAAAAAAAAAAUUUAGCCAGACAUGGUCCUAGCUACUUGAGUGGAUCAAGUGGGAGAUCACUUGAGCCCAGAGGUUUGAGGUUGCAGUGAGCUAUGACCGCACAAGUACACUCCAGACUGGGCAACAGAACGAGACUCUGUCUCUUAAAAAAAAAAAAAAAGGUGUAAUGGUUGAAUGGGUGGAGGUAGGGGGAGCCAGUAUUUUUCUGCAGCUUUGCAUUUGAAGCCACUCAGAACAUUCCCAGAUGGGCGUAUGGCUCAAGGUCUAAUGGUUUAGCUGUUUGCUUUCCCUCUUCUUAUUAGACACAGAAGUUCUCUUAACCACCUUUUACUCAGCUGCCUUACUUGGAGACUCAUAAAACUCACAGCCUUCGUACCCCAGCAUAGUGAAGAGCACUCCCCUCAUGCUUUAGUCUCUAGCUCAUGAUCACUUCUUCAUUCCCAUAUGAGUUCUGUGUUCACAAAGGGAGGAGUGGUUAGCUGUGUUUGUCCCCAAAUCCAUUUAUGGUAGCUAUAUUUACUGUGUAAAUAUAAUGUAAUUAAAUAGUAUGUAAAUCAAUAAAAUGAGUGUGAAUACAAACAGCGGUUCUAGCUGACUCCUGGGAAAGACUCAAUAAAGGCAAGUCACUAAAAAACUAUUGCUAGUGAAUAAUCAUAUGGGAGACUACAUUUAGAGAAAGAAAUCUUAAAAAUCUGGAAAGGUUUGGUUUUUAAAUGUUCUCACAAUACUCUUUGCUCUACUUUAAAAAAGGUCAAAUUGGUUUUUGCAAGAACUAUGAUGGGAAACUCCACUAGCAGAGCCAUCCUCAAAGAUAAAGACAUAGUCCUUUAGCAAAUGAUUUAUGUUAGAGUUUGAAAUCAAAUGUUUACAGAAGCCAUGUCACUUUUAUGUUAGCAUACCAACUACCCACUUGUCUCAAUCAUGAUGGGUAAAAAGGGAUUCUACAUUUAGAUAGGCAAAAGAUACAAAUUCAAAUCUUACAUUCUUAUUAUUCCAUUUCUGGGUCUCUGUGGCUGUAUUCCAGCACAACCUCCCUGAAGUGGGGUUCUGAGAACUCCUUAUGAGUGAGGGGUAUGACCAAAGGUCCAAGUGCCAACCCAAAGAGGGAACCAGCUCACUCUCACUAUCAUUUUCCUGAGAUCACCAACAGUGCAAGCACAUUUCCCAUACGCAGUAUGGAAAUGCUUCUAACCUUUGGCUAAAUCCCUUUAGAUCCUAUAACCAAAAGUGUAUUUUCAAAGGCAGGGCCCAUGAUGGGAAGAAUAUGCAGGAUCCAACGGCAAUAAAAAGAACACAGACCAGAAUGCAUGCCCUGUGGGUGUGUCUCUCCAUUUUCCACUUUAAUCACAGUAUAAAUAAGAGGAGUUACUACCACAUUAUAUCGCAUGGGGAGGGGGAGAAAGAAAUACCACUAGGCCGGGUGCAGUGGCUCACGCCUGUAAUCCUAGCACUUUGGGAGGCUGAGGCAGGUGGACUGCCUGAGCUUCGGAGUUUGAGACCAGCCUGGGCAACAUGGUGAAACCCUGUAUCUACUAAAAUACAAAAAAUCAGCCGGGCAUGGUGGCGUGCGCCUGUAGUCCCAGCUACUUGGGAGGCUGAGGCAGGAGAACUGCUUGAACCCGGGAGGCAGAGGUUGCAGUGAGCCGAGAUUGCACCAGGGCACUCCAGCCUGGGCGACAGAGUGAGACUCCAUCUCCAAAAAAAUCAAAAGAAAUACCACUUAACAAUAGCUAGCUGGAAGUGGUAGAAAUAUGCAUUUUCUAUAGGGUAUAAUGGUUAAAGGCAUGAGUUCUGGACCUCUGUUACAGACUAUUAUUACAACUCCCUCCCUGGUCUCCCUGCUUCUGCUCUUGCUCUCCUACAGUCUAAACCUGACACAGCAGCCAGACCCUACUACCCCUCGGCUGAAAAACUCCUGUGACUCCCCCAUCUCAGGAGAUAAAACUCUUAAAAUGGCCUACAAGACCCUCUAAGAAGUGUCAAGCCUCCGCCCCUACCACCAUCCCUCUGACUUCACCUCUGAUUACUCUUGUACUUUUCCAGUCCCAGAACAUUGUUUCCUUAUGUUCUACAUACACACCAGGGAUACCUCCACCCGUGGGCCUUUGCAUUUGCUGUUCUCUCUGCCUAAAAUGAUCUUGCUCAAACAGUCACAUAGGUUACAUCCUUACCUCCUUCAAGUCUUUGCUCAAAUGUCACUUUCUCAUUGAGGCCUUUGCCAAUCUAUCUAAAACCUCAACCUUUUCCUAUUCCCUCCUUAACACUUACUAGCUUAUACACAACAGUCUUGCUUAUUAAUCAUAUUUAUUAUGUCUUUUCCACUACAGUGUGAGAUGAAGGCAGGAACUGUGUCUUCUUCACUCCUAAAUUCUUGGUAGCCAGGACAGUGUCUUGUACAUAGCAGACAUUCAUCAAGUACUUACAGAAAUAUCAAAGGUACCCUUUUCUCCUCCUGGCCUGUGUAUAUACCUGGAAGACGCUUUCCUCCUGCCUGACUGCACCAUACACACCCAAGACCAAAUGGCACUUCCUCCAAGAAGUUCUAGCCUAUAGGUGUAGGUUGCCUGAGGUACUUUCAUUGUAACUGACCACUCCCUACAGGGUAAGCUUCUUGAGGGCAACAUUGAGGCUUUGCCCAGCUCCUUAUAUAUUCACUGAGUGACCGAGGGAAUGCCAGGUCCUAACUGGCCACUCAUUCAAACAGUCACUGAAUAGCUACUCUAUGCCAAGACUGAUGGGGAGACCUUGGAGAACAACACUAGUGUGGGUCUGGCCUCCUGGAGCCUUCAGUCGGUUGGGGAAAGAGCAGAUGUUUAACUACACGGAUCCUGACUAUGAUGGGGGCUAAGAAAAUAGAUGGGUGCAUUGUUGCAGAAUUAGAAGCAUGCAUGUAUGCAUCCAAAGUGUUACUUAAGCUGUGCUAUAAAGAAAAGAGCCUGUCAUGCAGUGGGGAGUGGGGGCAGUGUGGUGGCACCUAAGCAAAGGGGCAGAGACCUCCAUGUGGGAAAAGGCUUGGAGCAUUCGAGGAAUGAAUGCAGGCCAAGGUGGCUUGAGCUCCUGGGAGAGGAAGAGCAAAUGUAACAGAAAGAGACAGUAGCAUCUAAGAACUGGUUAUUUCUACCUCCCCGACUUUCUGCACUGCUAGAAUACACCUGGUCAAAAUCAAAGGGGUCCAGGGGAGGGAAUGCAGAGACUUGGUUAAGCUUUUUAGCAGGAAAAGAAAACAAAAAAACAGAAGAAAAAAUAGAAGUAAAAAU
rnacentral:lncRNA from 1 species